rnacentral:rRNA from 1 species
CACGUGGUAUCCUGUCUGAAUAUGGGGGGACCAUCCUCCAAGGCUAAAUACUCCUGACUGACCGAUAGUGAACCAGUACCGUGAGGGAAAGGCGAAAAGAACCCCGGCGAGGGGAGUGAAAAAGAACCUGAAACCGUGUACGUACAAGCAGUGGGAGCCUCUUUUAUGGGGUGACUGCGUACCUUUUGUAUAAUGGGUCAGCGACUUAUAUUCUGUAGCAAGGUUAACCGAAUAGGGGAGCCGAAGGGAAACCGAGUCUUAACUGGGCGUUAAGUUGCAGGGUAUAGACCCGAAACCCGGUGAUCUAGCCAUGGGCAGGUUGAAGGUUGGGUAACACUAACUGGAGGACCGAACCGACUAAUGUUGAAAAAUUAGCGGAUGACUUGUGGCUGGGGGUGAAAGGCCAAUCAAACCGGGAGAUAGCUGGUUCUCCCCGAAAGCUAUUUAGGUAGCGCCUCGUGAAUUCAUCUCCGGGGGUAGAGCACUGUUUCGGCAAGGGGGUCAUCCCGACUUACCAACCCGAUGCAAACUGCGAAUACCGGAGAAUGUUAUCACGGGAGACACACGGCGGGUGCUAACGUCCGUCGUGAAGAGGGAAACAACCCAGACCGCCAGCUAAGGUCCCAAAGUCAUGGUUAAGUGGGAAACGAUGUGGGAAGGCCCAGACAGCCAGGAUGUUGGCUUAGAAGCAGCCAUCAUUUAAAGAAAGCGUAAUAGCUCACUGGUCGAGUCGGCCUGCGCGGAAGAUGUAACGGGGCUAAACCAUGCAUCGAAGCUGCGGCAGCGACGCUUAUGCGUUGUUGGGUAGGGGAGCGUUCUGUAAGCCUGCGAAGGUGUGCUGUGAGGCAUGCUGGAGGUAUCAGAAGUGCGAAUGCUGACAUAAGUAACGAUAAAGCGGGUGAAAAGCCCGCUCGCCGGAAGACCAAGGGUUCCUGUCCAACGUUAAUCGGGGCAGGGUGAGUCGACCCCUAAGGCGAGGCCGAAAGGCGUAGUCGAUGGGAAACAGGUUAAUAUUCCUGUACUUGGUGUUACUGCGAAGGGGGGACGGAGAAGGCUAUGUUGGCCGGGCGACGGUUGUCCCGGUUUAAGCGUGUAGGCUGGCUUUCCAGGCAAAUCCGGAAAAUCAAGGCUGAGGCGUGAUGACGAGGCACUACGGUGCUGAAGCAACAAAUGCCCUGCUUCCAGGAAAAGCCUCUAAGCAUCAGGUAACAUCAAAUCGUACCCCAAACCGACACAGGUGGUCAGGUAGAGAAUACCAAGGCGCUUGAGAGAACUCGGGUGAAGGAACUAGGCAAAAUGGUGCCGUAACUUCGGGAGAAGGCACGCUGAUAUGUAGGUGAAGCGACUUGCUCGUGGAGCUGAAAUCAGUCGAAGAUACCAGCUGGCUGCAACUGUUUAUUAAAAACACAGCACUGUGCAAACACGAAAGUGGACGUAUACGGUGUGACGCCUGCCCGGUGCCGGAAGGUUAAUUGAUGGGGUUAGCGGUAACGCGAAGCUCUUGAUCGAAGCCCCGGUAAACGGCGGCCGUAACUAUAACGGUCCUAAGGUAGCGAAAUUCCUUGUCGGGUAAGUUCCGACCUGCACGAAUGGCGUAAUGAUGGCCAGGCUGUCUCCACCCGAGACUCAGUGAAAUUGAACUCGCUGUGAAGAUGCAGUGUACCCGCGGCAAGACGGAAAGACCCCGUGAACCUUUACUAUAGCUUGACACUGAACAUUGAGCCUUGAUGUGUAGGAUAGGUGGGAGGCUUUGAAGUGUGG